AUGUCUUCCACCAGACUCAUUCCCCUGUGGAAGGAUUUUAAAUACUUGGUAAAUGACAUCAUACAUAAAAGCAAGCAAACAUCAGAAGACCCAAAGAAUGAAGUGGUUGUGCUGAGUGACCAGUCCCAGAUACUUUUUCCUCUAACUCUCUUGUAGGCUGUAGUAUGGAUGAAGAGCAAAACUGAGGACAUGGUCGAGAAAAGAACAUUCUCCAUGACUGAAAAACUGCCGCCCAUCCAGUCCAUGGUCCACACAGGUUCCUUUCAUAUCCUCGUGGCCUACUGUGGUGACCUGAUCCUGCGGCUCUUUGGGGACCACUUCCGGUCAUUCAAACCCCUGGGUAUAGUGCCCUGCCGCUUUAACAUCAACUGCCUCUGCUAUGACCCGGAAAUGAAAAUGCUUCUGUCAGGCAUCCUGGGGGCAGUGGUCACCUGGAUCAUCGAGCGGAGCGGCAAGGGCCUCCAAGUAGCCCACAUGGUCCCCAUGCCUGGAGAGGAGCUUGUCCAGGACAUCAGGCUGAACGGCCCCAAUGGCUCCCUCCUCGCGCUAUGUGAGACGGUGGUGAGGGUCCUUGAGCGCCAGGGCCAUGGCCAGCUAGGAGAGGUUCAGAGGUUCACAUCCACCACCAGCGGCUCCUCUAUCACCUGCUGCUUCACCUGUUUCGACCAGGGCUUUCUCUAUGCCGGAAAUAAGACUGGGGAAAUCCAAGUAUGGAGCCUUGUCCGGGGAAACUCUCUCCACAGUUUCAAGGCCCAUUUCUCAUCAGUGACCUGUAUCCGCAGCCGGCCAGAAGCCCACACCCUGCUAACGGCUGGCAAGGAAGGCCUGAUCAAGGAGUGGAACCUGACUUUGGGGAACCUGCUGCGGCGACUAGAACUUGGUGAGGAACUGUAUGAACUCGAGUUUAUCGACAACACUACUUUCUUCUGCCAAACUAUGCAUACUUUCUCCUUGCGCCGUCUGCCUUGCUUCUACAGCCUCUUCAGUGUCUGCGGCUCUGCUCCCCAGCAGCUGCGUCGGGUCCGCUGCGGUGAUAACUGGUUCCGGAUCCUGUGCACUACGGAGGAUGGCUUACUGCGCUUUGUGUCCCCACUCACAGGGGAUCUUCUCGUCCUCACCUGGCCCUUCACGAUCCUAGACCGGGCUGUGGACUGGGCCUAUGACCCAGAAAAAGAGGAGCUCUUUGUAGCGACGGGCAAUGCAGAGGUGCUGGUGUUUGACACGACCCGCUGCCCUUGCCCAGCCAAGUAUCUCUUGUGCACUUCACCAAAUUCUCAAGACUGGGUACAAUGCCUGGCUUAUGGGCAUUUCCACCUGGGCCGGGGUCUACAAGGACUCAUGUUCUCCGGACACCAGAGUGGUGUGAUAAGAGUACUUUCCCAGAACUACUGUGCCCGGAUAGAGAAGUUCAUGCACUUUGGGGCUAUCUUGGCACUCUCUACACUACCUGGAGGGCUUUUUGGUAGCCGAGAAAACUCUUUGCUCUGCUCCUAUGGAAUGGAUGACUAUGUACACCUAUCAGAAGCUGUGCUCGAGGGGAGGAAAGUACAUUUGAAGCCCCUCGCCAGCAUUCUCAGCAGCUGUCACCUAAGACACCUGAUACUCUUACCCAUGUCUGUGGGAGCUAUCACGGAGACUAACUGUCUGCGUCUCUGGAAGUUCCACGAUUUUCUGUCCUCUGAGUCACAAGAAGACUCAGUGUUUAUAGAGACAUUGCCUCUGCACCAGUGCACCAUCACAUCCUUUGAUGUCUGCCUGUCCUUGAGUCUUUUUGUCACAGGUGGUAUCGAUGGGUCGGUCCGGGUCUGGAACUUCCAUGGCAGACUUAUAGCCAUGCUGGACUCAUCGCUGCACUUUGGCCCACUCUGCUUUGCAAAUGACCGGGGUGACUUGCUUGUGUCUUUUAACCAGAGUCUUUAUCUGGUGUCCUGUCUAAAACUGCUUCACCCAACCCUGCUGGCUCGCCUUUCCUUUAUGAGCAUGACAGAUGAAGUGCUAGAGUCCCCUAAGCCUUUCACACCAAGCUUCUUCUUCUCCUUUGAGACCAUGUUUGUGCCCAAGUAUAUCUACCUUGGAAAAGGGCAACAGGAAUUAGUCAGUCUAGAGAAACUUGUCAAUAAGCGGGCCAUUGCCUUUGAUCAUACAGUGCCACACGUCAUAGAGGAAGAUAAGCAAGGGAGUCCCAUGGUACUGCCUGCCUUCAGACACGGUUUCUUGUAUAAAGAAGAAACUGAUGGGAUGGAGGUGGGCAAACCUCCCCAUUAUGUGAUUCCUCCCCAACUACAGUUGACUGCCUGGGAUGGACUCAACCCCUACCAAAUAUUGCGAUGCUACUUUGGUCAUGGGCGUAAAUGGCUCUUGGCUCCUGACGGUUAUAUCCCCAACUCAGUGAUUCGUGCCCGUCUUUGGCCAGAGGGCAGUCCGAUAUACCUACAGUGCAACCUGCAUUCACCUGUGUGGGAAACAGAUUGGGACAAGUCCCAACAAUUCUUCUUCUGGCAUAGUAGGGUAACAUCUCUAAGUGAUGCAGGAGAAUAUUCACAGGAAAAGGAGGAUGAAGACUUCAUAGAAAUGAGAUUGUCCAAGGAUAUAACCUACAGUGUCCUUACAGACUCAGCAAAAUGUAGUUGGCUGGGGAAAAAGAUGAGUGAAAUAGCUAUUAAUAGCCUGGUGGAGACAAUCCUCAACAUUAUGAUCCAUGCUUCUCCACUGAAGUACCAAUGCUGUAUUGGUGCACUGGGGCAAAUCUUUGCCUCUUAUGAGGUGUCUUCAUCCCUGCGCUCUGAAACAGCCCAUCGUCUACUGGAUGAUACCACCAAUUCCAAACCGCUGAUCCGAGAGCUAGCCUGGGAAGGGCUGAAGCACCUAGGAAUGAUUACUCAUCUCUUUGCCAUGCCUCUGGCCCAAGGAUUGAUGGACAAGGACCAAAGAGUGAGGAGUAAGGCCCUGAACCUCAUGGCUGACACCGGAAUCCACUCUAAGUCCUCACUCUUAAACCUGAUCCAGCACCGAGAGACCUUCCAGGAGAUGCAGCAGGAAAUGAUUGGGGAGGAAUCCCUAGACCAUCUGUUGGGGAUGCGGGCCACAGAUCUCCAAAUCCUUCAUACUCAAGUGGAGCAGCGAUUGAAUGAAAACCUGACCUUGUCAGAGGGACAAGAAAAGCCUGCUUUCUCUUUAGAGGUCUCAAGGAUUUCUGAACGUAUAUCCCUUUCCAAGCAACCUGACGUAAUUCCUAAAGAAUCUGAAGCUACCGUCAAGUCCGGCAAAGGCCAAAGACGGGGCCGAGCGGGGGGCAAAAAGCACGUCCGAAAAUUGUGGCGGGCCCUCAAGAAGAUAAAAGAGGCUGGCAAACAGCCAGGUCCCUUAGAGGGUGAAAUUGACCAGAGGGAAGCUGCACCAGUUUUGGUGGAGGAUACAGCCGCCCAUUCUAGAAUGUCUUCAACCAUCAGUGUGUUAAAGAUUUCAAAAGAUGGUGAACAACAACCUCCAGAGAAAGACACCUCAAAGGACAAUUUUGCAUUGAACCUGAAGAUGCUGAGGAAAAUACAUGACAGAAAAAGCAAGAAAAGAACAGUUCAGAAACCCAAAAAGAGGCACAAGAAGACAAAAGAAGCUGAAGUUACAACUGAGGAAUCUCUGUCUGCUGUAAAGGAAGAACCAGUUGUGAAGCAGCUGAAAGCCAAAGGGCGGGGUGCCACUGGAGCGCCUGGCCGCAAGACCAUCCCUGAAGAUAGCUCAUCAUGGCGAGAUGAUCUAUGUCGUCUUAUGACCCUUAGAAUAUCUGGUUCCCAAACAAAAAUGUCAGAAGCUCUAAACAUGGAGCUAGUGGCCACGGCUCAGGAGGUGCUGGCAGAUCAACAGCCCAGUUGGGAACUUUUUCAGGAGAUCUGCCCCUUGUUGGAGAAAAAAAGUGAGGUUCUGCUUGAGGACCUCAACUGGGAUAUAGCCUGGCCAGAGGAGAAACCAAUUUUUAUUCAUGAAGGGGCAAUUAGAGAUGACAUAAUGACCAUCAGAAGGGAGGACGAGAUACCAGAGGAGCAAGAGCAGGUGCAAAAGGAAGCAGAGGAAAUGCCAUACUUGCAGGAAACCCAGGUGAUUCCCAAAAAAGGCAAGAAAAAGAAAGCUAUCUUUUUAGGACCCAGUGGCCUCACCAAGAGAAAACGAAUAUCGAAGAAAGAAGAGACGAAAUCCUUUACGAAGCCCUUUAAGCAAGAGAGGAAAGAAGUUCAGCAGGAAAUUAAAGUGGAUAAAAAAGAGACAGUGAGCAAAACAGAGAGGGAUGUGAGUCAGGCAGUAGAGGAAGUGGCCAAACCAGAGGAGGAAGUAGUUAAGCAAGAAGAAAGGCCAGUUAUGGAUGAGAGGAAGCUGUCUUGGCAGGAGAGGAAGAAGUCCUGGGAUGAGUGGAAACAGGCCCAGGGUGAGACGAAGAUAGCCUGGGAUGAAUGGAAGAAAGCUUGGGACAAGAAGCAUCUUGAGGAAGAGGAGAAACAACAAACAGAUGAAAGGAAGCCACUCCCAGAGGAGGAAAAGCUGGAUGUGGACAAGAAGAAGCUGAGAUGGGAUGAGUGGUUAGAGUUCUGGGAACAGACAGUGGCCAGGUCCGGAGAGGAACACAAGGAUGAUGAGGAAUUGACCCUGAAGGGAGAAGAAUUGCCUCAGGAAUGGGGAGAAGAAGAACAAGAAGAGCUAAUGUCAAAAGAGCAGAGACAGAUCCAAAAAGAAUAUAAUCAGGCCUGGAUGGAGAGGAAACGAGCCCAGGCUGAAAGGAAACGAGCCCAAGAAGAAAGGAAGCUGGCCCAAGAGGAGGAGAAGCUAGUACAGGAAGAGAGAAAACUGGCCCAGGAAGAGAGAAAACUGGCCAGGGAAUAUGGGAAACUGGCUCAGAGAGACAGGACAAUGGUCCAGUCAGAGAGGAAGUUUGUCCACAAUGAGGAAAAAUUGGCCAAAAGAGAGGAGAAGUUAAGCCAAGAAGCAGAGAAAUUGGCCCAGAAAAGGAAGAAACUGGCCAAGCAGUUUGAGGAACUGGCUCGAGAAGAAGAGAAAAUAGCAAAGAAAGGAGGGAAGCUGGCUGAGGUAAAAAAGAUACUGGCCCAGAAAAUGGAAAAACUGACCCAGAAGGAGCAAGAGCUGGCAUUGCAAGAAAAGGAAUUAGCCCGGGAAUUGGAGGAGCUGAUGUGGGAAGAGGAGGAACUGGCUCGGAAAGAAGAGGAACUGAUUCAGGAAUUGAAGGAUCUGGCUGAGGAAGAGGAGGGACUGGCUCAGGAAGACAAGACACUGGCCUGGCAAGAGCAGAAAUUGAUUAAAGAAGAGAAAACACUGGCCCUGGAAGAAGAACUGCUGAUCCAGGAAGAGAAGAAACUGGCCCACGACAAGGAGAAACUGCCCGAGGAAGAGGAAAAGCUUGCCCAGAGAAGGAAGAAACUGAUGGAGAACAAGUUAAAACUGGCCCAGGAAAAAGAAAAAUUGGCCCAGGACAAAGAGAAACUCACAAAGAACAAGACGAUACUAGAUUGGAGGGAGAAGUCUCUGGCUCAGGAGAGGGAGAAUCUGCUUCAGGAGAAAGUGAAAUUGGCUCAGAGGAAAGAGAACUUCCUCCAGGUCAAAGAAAACCUUGCACAGAACAAAAAUAAAUUAGACCAAGCAAAGGAGAAACUGGAUGUGUACAAGAAGAAACUUGCUCAGGUAGAGAAGAAGUUGAUGGAAGAAAAGGAAAAACUUUCCCAGAAGAAGGAGAAGCUGGACGAGGCAGAGAAAAAGCUGACCCAAUUAGAGGAAAGUCUGGCUCAGAAGCAGCACAAUCUAGCCCAGGACAAGAUGGAAUUAGCUAUGGAGAAGAGGGCGGUAUUUCAAGAACUGAAAAUGCUCAGAGGAGAGUGGGAUGGUGCCAAGGAAGAAAAGGCACUGGGCACGGAAAUGAAGAAACUGGCCCAGGAGAAGGUCAGGCUGUCUGAGGAAAAGCAAAUUCUCUCUGCAGGAGAGACUGAAGAAACCUUAAAACAGAUAAGACUGACUAAGAAUGAACUAGAACUAAUCAAGAGGAAAUUGUCACUAGAGGAGAAGAUACUGAGGUAUGAAGAUAGGAUACUGGCCACAGAGCAAAGGGACAUUGCCAAAAGAAAACUGGAAUUUACCAGAGGAAGGAGAGUGUAUGCGCAGGAAGAGAGGAAGCUAGCCAAAGUAGUAAGGAAGUUGAUUAAAGAAAAGGAGGGCACUUCCAAGGCAUCAAAAGUGAGUAGCAAAGUCUUAAAGGCACUUCGAGAGCUUACCAAAGAAGAAAUGAAACUGACCCAGGAAGAAAUAGAGAUGACAAAGAUGAAGAGGAACUUCUUUGUUAAGGAAAGGAAAUUGAGCAAGGAAAAAAAUAAACUUGAUGCCAAAGAGUGGGAUUUUUCUGAGGAACAACCAGAAGUAACCAAAGAUGAGAAGAAACUGGCUAAGAAGCAGAGAAAACUGGCCAAGGAAAUGAAAAGAAUGAUAAAGAAAGAGAAAAAAAUAACUGAGGAAGAAAGCAGAUUGGCUAGACAACAGAGAGAAGUCAUACAGGAAGAAGAAGAGGAAGGACUAACAAAGGAUGAAGAGGUAAUACCACUGCUUAAACAAAGGUCGAGAAAGAGAAAAGAGCUAAAGACAGUUGAUACACCACAGGAAAAGCUUCCCAGUCGAGAGGAAAGUAGAGAGAGCCUUUCUGAAGAAAUGGAAGGCUUAUUAGACCAAGUAGAACAAGAGAGUUUGUCUGAGGAGGAGGAGGAGGAAGAGGAGGAGGAAGAAGAAGAAGAGGAGGAGGAGGAAGAGGAAGAAGGGAAGGUGGUGGAGGAGGUAGAGGUGGAAGAGAAGAGAAAGAAGGAGAAAGAGAAGGAGAAGGAAGAGAAAGAGAAGAAGGAGAAGAAGAAGAAGAAGGUGCAGGAGGAGGAGGAGAAAGAGGAGGAGGAAGAGAAGGAAAGCAUCAGUGAGGAAGAGUCAGAAAGUCUGAGUGAGGAAGAGUCAGAAAGUCUGAGUGAGGAAGAGUCAGAAAGUCUGAGUGAGAAAGAAAAGGGGAAAAGCUCACUGAAAAAAGAGGCAGACAAGAAAAAAGAGAUCUCUAAAAAAGAAAAAUUAUUUAAGUCACAAGCAGAAAGAGAAAAGGACCAAAGAAGAGAAAUAAUCCCUUCUAUUGGAAAAAGAAUCCCUGAUAUCAAAGACAGUGAUAUACAACUAAAAGUUCUGAAAGUCCCUUCCAAGAAAGUGAUCACAAUAGCUCUACGCAGGCAAGAGACGAUACCAGUGCCAGUGUCUACAAAACAAGUAUCCUGGGAAGAAAAGGCCAGAGCACUUGAGGCAUCCAGGAUACUUCCAGAGUCAAGGUUUAUGGACAGACAAGGAGAACCGUUGAAGAAAUAUAAGCCCAAACCUCUACAACUUUUGGAUACAGUUUUGGAGUCCCCAGAGCAAGACUUAAAGACUCCAUAUUUACCUCACAUAUUGAGGAAGACCAUGGAAGCUCACAAACUCCAAGGUGAACCACUAGAGCCCAAGUGGCAGUGGAUUUUGCAGCAUCAUCCAACUCUGAUGAGAAAGACUGAGGUACCUGUGCCCCAAAUCUGGACCAAGGAAAUAGGUGCUCAGGUAGGACUCUCAGAUAUAGAGUGGAUCCGCCAUGUCCUAGAACAGAUGGAGGCAGGAGAACAGCUUACUAGGGAUAGUUUCCACAGAUUGUGCCAGCUUCUUAAAGACCUCACCUCAAAGGGAAACUUAGAGUGGCUACAUUUGGCCCAACUUGAAGCCAUUGUGUACCGUCACAAGCAGGUCCUGGAAUCACGAAGCGCACAUAUCUCAAAACCCAGUAAGGAGCCCAUGGGUCCAAAGUACCUGAAAGUGAUCCCGCCUAUAAAAGGAAAGGAAAGCUGGUUAAAACCUUUCACUGUCCCCACACUAAAGUCCCCAUUAGGUACCAAAGGGAUUCCAACCCCAAAGGGUAUAAAUUGGCACCUUCUAGAAGAGCCUUACAGGAGUGCAUGGGCAGAGCAGAUAUCCACUGCUCUCAAGGAGAUGGAGGUGCAACACUUUCAUCCUGCCACAGGAGAUAGCUUCACAGGUGCCCAGGCCUCUGUGGACAAACAAACCCUUGCACUGAUGUUUCAAAAGGACUUCUGGGCUUUUAAGGACAAAGGCAGGUCUCCCAGAUUGCCCAAGCUGGAGAAGAAGGCACAGGCCGUCUCUAAGAAAAAGGAAGAGGUGCCUCUCUGGGAGACAUUUGUGGCACUGUACCAUGUCUUGCGGAUGUUGCAGCAACGAUAUGCAAAAGACAGCACUGCUUGGAUGGAACAGUUCUACCAGCUCAUGGACCUAUACCAACUUAAGUCACCCCGAAUCCAGAAGCUUCUACAGGAGCUGUUACUGAGAGAUGAACGCCAAUCCCAAGAGAUCACCUAUGAGGAGGCCCUAAAGGCCAUGGAGCUGGUUCCAGGGGAGCGCUUGUUCUACCACCUGUUUUGUGGUGGCUCUCAAAACCCUAAAGGUCCUCUGGAGUUCCAGGAGGUGGUGUCCCUCCCAGGUCAGAAUAAUGUCCGUACCAUGAAUCCUAUGGGCAUUACUCAGUAUGGGAUCUUAGAACUCGCCUGGAGGAGCCUGCCCCAAGCCGAUACUCACCACACCAAGGAAAUGCCCCACAUCAUUGCAUCCACCCCCUAAUUUGGGACUGACUGGAGGUCAGGACUUUUCAUUCCCACCUGGAGGAAGGCCUUGUCACCCUAAUCUAGACCCUUAUCCCUAGGGCCCACACAGAGGUAGGGCCAGGCCAAAGCCCUUUCCCUACCUAGCUCCAGAAACCAGCUUCCAUAU